AACGAACGCUGGCGGCAGGCCUAACACAUGCAAGUCGAGCGAGGACUUCGGUCCUAGCGGCGGACGGGUGAGUAACGCGUGGGAACGUGCCCUUUGCUUCGGAAUAGCCCUGGGAAACUGGGAGUAAUACCGGAUGAGCCCUUUGGGGGAAAGAUUUAUCGGCGAAGGAUCGGCCCGCGUUGGAUUAGGUAGUUGGUGGGGUAAUGGCCUACCAAGCCGACGAUCCAUAGCUGGUUUGAGAGGAUGAUCAGCCACACUGGGACUGAGACACGGCCCAGACUCCUACGGGAGGCAGCAGUGGGGAAUCUUAGACAAUGGGGGAAACCCUGAUCUAGCCAUGCCGCGUGAGCGAUGAAGGCCUUAGGGUGGUAUAGCUCUUUCAGCGGGGAAGAUAAUGACGGUACCAGCAGAAGAAGCCCCGGCUAACUCCGU
rnacentral:rRNA from 1 species